UAAAAACCCAGGUGCUAUUUUAGUACACACCCCCUGACUCUACUUCUAACACUCAUCUGGAGUUGGGUGAUAAAUGUCUAUUAAAACCACAAGGCUGUGAGUGAAUAUGCCUGCCUUGUGAUUUCCAACCCACCCAAGCAAAGGUGACAUCGGCAGACAGUGGUUGAUGGGAUGGUUGUUAGAAUUGAGCCAACUCCCAAACACACCCAGCAAUAACUCCCAGCUCUGGAGAAAAAUGCCUGUCAGACUUCCAGAUGGAGCUGAGCUUCAGCAACCACAGCAGAGACUGGGAGGAGGAGGGAGAUGGUGAGAACUGAGUCUCCAAGGAUGGGGUUCAUCUGUGUCAGGACAGAUGCUAGCGUGUUCCAGCAGAAGCCAAGUUCUUGAAGAGAAAAGUGUGGGCAGAGGGAGACUGUAUGGAAGGGGAAUGUCCUCUCUCAUUGUAAGAAUAGAUCCACACAUAGAGUAAAGCUUGCAUCUUGCUGGGUCUCCUCUGAGGAUCAAACAAUGAAAUAUUGCUUCAGUGGUCUUUGGAAUAAUCUGGACUUGCAGAUUUUAUUUAUUCAUGAGAGACACAGAGAGAGAGAGGCAGAGGGAAAAGCAGGCUCCGUGCAGGGAACCCGACGUGGGACUCGAUCCCAGGUCUCCAGGAUCAGGCCCUGGGCUGAAGGCGGCACUAAACUGUUGAGCCACCUGGGCUGCCAGAACCUGGAUUUUCUGAUGGAGAAAGGAGAGGAAGACUUGGACAUAAAGAGAUUCACAGGGACACAUGGCCACAUGAAGGUGGAUGCAAAGAUUGGCGAGAGGCCUCCCCCGCAAGACAAGGACCAUGGGGAGAAGGAAAAAGCUGGAGGAGACAAGUCUCUCCUAGAACCACUGAAAGGAGCAUGGCCCUGCCAACACCUUGAUCUCAGAUUUCUAACCUCUAGAACUGUGAUGUAACAAAUUUCCAUUGUUUUGAGCCAUCAGUUUGUAGUAAUAUGUUACAGCAACUCUAGGACACUAGUGCACACAUCAAAGUUGUCUACAUAGUUUAUACAGCAGGAGCUCAAUAAAUAUGGAUGCUCCAACAAGUCAUCUGGAUGAAUUUGCUGUACUGUAAAACGACAGAGGUACCACCAUGCUUACAUCGUGCUCUUGUCUCACAGUGAAGAUCCAGCACUUCAUGCUUCCUAUUUUAAAUUUUGCAACCAGUGCACUUCAUGUAGAAAGAACACAGGGUUCAGAAUAUGGAACCAUCAGACUGAGAUUGACGUACCUGCUAAUCAAACCCGGCAUUCCAUUUCCAAACCACUCAUUCCAGUGAGAAUCACUAAUUACACCCAUUAGGAGGCUUUAUCCAGCGCUGCAGGGAUGUUUAUAUCAGCGGCAUCUCUCUCAAACAGGGCCCUAUGAAGAUGAUUCUAUGCCGAAUCUUUGUAAGGGUGUAAGUAUAGCCCCAGACCUCGGGCAUCCAUCUAUGCAGGUGGAAUCCUAGCAUUCCACCCCUUGGCUGGGAAUAUUUUUACUCUCUCCAACAUCCCAGUGUACUUCACGUAGCCCUGGUGAUAAUUCUUGUCUCCUUUUCCCUGCCUACCUCUUUCCCUGCUCUUGAAGCUGUGGCUUCCAAGGCCACUUUUCUGUUCUUAGGUUGCACUAGUUCUUUCAUCACCACAAUUCUGAUCUGACGCCAAGUUGACCACACUUGUGGUUGAUUACUGUGCUAAUAUUUUCCAUUUGCCUCUCCCUGUCACUGACUGCCCUUCUCCUGGGCUCCAAGGCAUCAGCCUCAAUGGUUUGCAUGAGCCAGGCCCCCUUGCCGUAGCUUCUAGUUAAAUAGAGGAGGUACUGCCAGGAAACUGGAGGGUGGGAGGAAAGACAGGUCAGAUCAGGGUAUUGAUUCCCCUCCAUGUGCCCUCUGUGCCAGCCCUCUGUCUCUGUCUCUGCAGCCACAGCUCCUGCUGGAGACCCCCUUGCAAGGCUAGAUAUCCAUUGGUCCUUCGGGCCUGGGGCUGUAGACUGCUUUCUGCUGGUGUCAGUCCCUGCAGUGGGCUCCCUCAACUCUGUCCCCACAUCUAUAAACAGUGACCCUAAUAAACUCUUUCCACUUGUACCUCUGAUAUAGUUCUCAAUAUUAAUCCUGAUUUGCACAUUUAAUACUCUGCCUAGCUACAGAUGUUAACCACACACACACACACACAUACACACACACUAUCUAUAUCAUAGGAAGAAUUUGGCUUCAGAAUCACACAUCCCUUAAAUAAACAGUCAUGUUAUUGGAUUGCUAUGUUCAUCUGAGUUAUUCAGUCUCUUUGAGUCCCAGUUCAGUCAUCUGUGAAACAAGACCAUAUACCUUGUAGGGUUAUGAGGAAACUGAAAUGAACUAACAUGAGCAUUUCUUAUGUGCCUUUCAUCUCCUCAUUCAGCUUCCUACAAAUAUUCCAGACCCUGUCUAACCUACUUCCAUGUGCUAUCAGGUAUGGCCCCUGCUGGCCAGUCUCUUUCUUUUUUAAGGCUGGCAUUUGCAUGGUCCUGUCCACAUGUCAAAUAAGGAUUCACCCAAGGAGCACCUGGGUGGCUCAGUGGUUGAGCAUCUGCCUUUGGCUCAGGUCCUGAUUCCAGGGUCCUGGGAUCGAGUCCCAUAACAGGCUCCCUGGGGUGAGCCUGCUUUUUCCUCUGCCUAUGUCUCUGCCUCUCUCUCUAUGUGUUUCCCAUGAAUAAAUAAACAAAAUCUUUUAUAAAUAGAUAGAUAGAUAGAUAGAUAGAUGAUAGAUAAAAUUUUUAAAAAAGGAUUCACCCAAGCCUCAGUGCCUCCACAUCAAGUAGGAUGGAUACACUAUUGAGACAGACAGACAGGUGAAGUGGCCUGUCCACAGUCACCAGAAUUCCGAUGUCAGUCUGUCAUCUCUUAUGCUGGAGCUUUGUUCUCACCCUGUUGCCUCCAUUCUCCUAGAGGAGAUCCCACCCACCAUGAGGUUUCUGGUUUGUUCUGCUGAGUGUGCGGUAUGCCUGAGAAGACAAUGACAAUGACAGCUUUUGUCACCAGCCAUGGGGCAGGGUGGGAGAGGUUAGAAAAGAAACUGUGGAGGAAGUGACUGUGGGCACAGAACCAGCCCCCAUGCCUUGCACACGAUGACUUGAACGGAAACAGAUUCGCUUCUCAAAUUGAUGAAUUGGCAGAUGAACACCCAGCUGCUGGGUGUUUCCAUCCUGAUUGAAAAGCCUGCGUGACAUGACCAUGAGCGUGUCAUGCAGAAACUAGUCCUAAAUAAGACCCUGUUCGUCCCUCAGCCCUUAAGAAUUGUGCCUCUGUGGGCAGAGCAAUGCAAGACAGGAUAUGGGUAAACUAAGGCUGGUCUGGAAUGAAUGCAAAGUUAUCAUUUCACAAGUAAGGGAAAAGUGGCAUGCAUCCCCAAGAUUUCUGAAAAAGAAAAAAAGAGAAAUUAAUUCAGAAAAUAUGAGCAAAGACAGAAUAGAAGGGAAAAAAUUCUUAAGAUUUGCUAUUGGAGACUUCACUUUUAAGAUUCAUUCCAGCAAAACAAAAAGGCAAAGAAACAUUAAUAUCUCUUUCAUGAACUAUAUAAAAGUAAAUAAACCCAUAAAAGGCGGUUAAAGAAAGACUCCAGUCUAUUCUGUCACCAAAAAAUCUUUAAGGAGGACAUAGCUUGCUUUUAACAAACCCCAGAGCCCCAAAUUCAAAAAAGUUUAGAAAGAGUUGUUACAACUACUUUGGAAUUUAAUUUUUAAAUUGAAUCUAUUUAUUUUUUUUUUAAAAACCCUGAAUUUACAGAAAACAUAAAGUGGUGAAUAAUAAAGAUUGUGAUUGGUUCUAUGUUCAGCAGAGGAACCUCCUCCAAACAUAACUGCUGUGCCCAGUCCAUGGCUAACACUGAUGGCCAGGGUCCAUCAUCCAGACUGACACUUAACACAGAAUGACAGAUCACCCAUACCCAUAAUUCGUCAGAAAAGCUCUAUCUCAUAAAAGCAGCAUAUGUUCACUGCCAAAAGCUGGAAAAAAAAAGCAGGGAAAAUCACACAGCAAAACAAAUGAAAAUAGUCACCGAUUUCACAUUCCAGAGGUACUCAUUGUUAACAUUGGGGAAUGCCUUCCCAUAGUUUUAUAAUUCUUAUAUCAAUAAAAUAAAUCAAAAAAUAAGAUUUAAAUACAUGUGAAUAUAAAUAAAUACUGUGAAAUAUAAAGAAAGUAAAUAUGAAGUUGUACAAUAUGAGUCCAUUUUAUUUCAUCUCUAUCAUAGUUUAUCAGUCUCUUAUUAUUACUCAGGGUGAUCUUCUCAAAUUUUUCUGUUAUAAAAUUAACAAAGUUCUGUUUUUAACAUUUAAAAUAAAUUUAGGCUUUGUAACUUGGUAUAGCCACUAUGGAAAGCAAUAUGAAGGUUUCUCAAAACAAUUAUGAAUGAAA